GACGAACGCUGGCGGCGUGCUUAACACCUGCAAGUCGAACGGUAAGGCCCUUCGGGGUACACGAGUGGCGAACGGGUGAGUAACACGUGGGUGAUCUGCCCUGCACUUCGGGAUAAGCCUGGGAAACUGGGUCUAAUACCGGAUAGGACCACUGCCUGCAUGGGUGGUGGUGGAAAGCUUUUGCGGUGUGGGAUGGGCCCGCGGCCUAUCAGCUUGUUGGUGGGGUGAUGGCCUACCAAGGCGACGACGGGUAGCCGGCCUGAGAGGGCGACCGGCCACACUGGGACUGAGAUACGGCCCAGACUCCUACGGGAGGCAGCAGUGGGGAAUAUUGCACAAUGGGCGCAAGCCUGAUGCAGCGACGCCGCGUGAGGGAUGACGGCCUUCGGGUUGUAAACCUCUUUCAGCACCGACGAAGCGCAAGUGACGGUAGGUGCAGAAGAAGGACCGGCCAACUACGUGCCAGCAGCCGCAGUAA
rnacentral:rRNA from 1 species